rnacentral:rRNA from 1 species
UACGAAGGGUGCAAGCGUUAAUCGGAAUUACUGGGCGUAAAGCGUGCGUAGGCGGUUUGUUAAGUCCGUUGUGAAAGCCCUGGGCUCAACCUGGGAAUUGCAGUGGAUACUGGCAAGCUAGAGUCAGGUAGAGGGUGGUGGAAUUCCUGGUGUAGCGGUGAAAUGCGUAGAUAUCAGGAGGAACACCGGUGGUGUAAACGGCUUUCUGGACCAUAACUGACGCUGAGGCACGAAAGCGUGGGUAGCAAACAGG